rnacentral:rRNA from 1 species
GGGCCCGCACAAGCGGUGGAGUAUGUGGUUUAAUUCGAUGCAACGCGAAGAACCUUACCAGGGUUUGACAUCCUGCGAAUCUCUUGGAAACGGGAGAGUGCCUUCGGGAACGCAGUGACAGGUGGUGCAUGGCUGUCGUCAGCUCGUGUCGUGAGAUGUUGGGUUAAGUCCCGUAACGAGCGCAACCCUUGUCCCUAGUUGCCAGCACUUCGGGUGGGAACUCUAGGGAUACUGCCAGUGACAAACUGGAGGAAGGCGGGGACGACGUCAAGUCAUCAUGGCCCUUACGACCAGGGCUACACACGUGCUACAAUGGUAGGUACAGAGGGCAGCUACACAGCGAUGUGAUGCGAAUCUCAAAAAGCCUAUCGUAGUCCAGAUUGGAGUCUGCAACUCGACUCCAUGAAGUAGGAAUCGCUAGUAAUCGCGGAUC